rnacentral:misc_RNA from 1 species
CUGUCAUGGACAUAAGACAAUUCCUUCUUGAUGCUCCUGAGACAUGUUUCUUCACAUGCUAUGACUUGCUGCUGCGCACAAAAGAUGGUACAACUCAUCAGCUUGAAGAUUAUAAUGAGAUCUCUGAAGUAGCAGACAUUACUACUGGUGGUUGCUCCUUGGAGAUGGUUGCUGCUCCUUAUGAUGAUAGAUCAAUCAGGGCUCAUGUCCACCGCACAAGAGAAUUGCUUUCACUUUCCACACUUCAUGCUUCACUUUCCACGUCACUUGCAUUAGAGUAUGAAAACAAGGCUUCAAGUUCAGAUACUGUGAAAGCUGAAGUCCCUGAGCUUGAUGGGC